rnacentral:rRNA from 1 species
UACGUAUGGAGCGAGCAUUGUCCGGAAUUAUUGGGCGUAAAGGGUGCGCAGGCGGCUUUACAAGUUGGAUGUGAAAUAUUGUGGCUCAACCACAAACGUGCAUCCAAAACUGCAAAGCUUGAGUUAAGGAGAGGUAAGUGGAAUUCCUGGUGUAGCGGUGGAAUGCGUAGAUAUCAGGAGGAAUACCGGUGGCGAAGGCGACUUACUGGACUUAAACUGACGCUCAGGCACGAAAGCGUGGGGAGCAAACAGGAUUAGAUAC